rnacentral:rRNA from 1 species
AGAGAGAGACAUGCGCGCAUAUCAAUAAGCGGAGGAAAAGAAACUAACUAGGAUUCCCUCAGUAACGGCGAGUGAAGCGGGAAGAGCUCAAAUUUGAAAUCUUCAAGGUUCUACCUUGACGAAUUGUAGUUUAAAGAAGUGUUUUCUGUUGAAGUUUUGGUAAAAGUUCUUUGGAAUAGGACAUCAUAGAGGGUGAGAAUCCCGUAUUUGACCAUUACUUUCCAACUUUGUGAUACACUUUCAAAGAGUCGGAUUGUUUGGGAAUGCAGUCCAAAAUGGGUGGUAAAUUUCAUCUAAAGCUAAAUAUUGGCGAGAGACCGAUAGCGAACAAGUACCGUGAGGGAAAGAUGAAAAGAACUUUGAAAAGAGAGUUAAACAGUACGUGAAAUUGUCAAAAGGGAAGCGUUUGACACCAGUGUUGUUUUCUCUGAAAAUCAAUUAAAGAACUGUUUAUGCUAAGUUGUUUAGACUUUAUCAGCUAACUGUUUAGUUUUGAGCUUUUCUUUAAUGCACUUUUCAGUUAACAAGUCAACAUCAAUUUCUUUUGCUGUAAAAAAGCUUGAGGAAGGUGGCUUGAGAUUCGUCUUAAGUGUUUAUAGCCUCUUGCCUAUGCAGUCGGAGAGAUUGAGGUCUGCAGCGUAGAUCCUUCGGGGCUAAAUGCAUUUGUGCUAGGUUAUAGCAUUUUAUAGACAACUUGUUGACUAUGAUCAGUCAUGUAGCUUACUCGCUUAUGUUAUUUUACCUACGCUUAGGAUGUUGAUGUGAUACUGCGAGCA